GAUGAACGCUGGCGGCGUGCCUAAUACAUGCAAGUCGAGCGAAUAGAUUAAGAGCUUGCUCUUAUGAAGUUAGCGGCGGACGGGUGAGUAACACGUGGGUAACCUGCCCAUAAGACUGGGAUAACUCCGGGAAACCGGGGCUAAUACCGGAUAACAUUUUGAACCGCAUGGUUCGAAAUUGAAAGGCGGCUUCGGCUGUCACUUAUGGGUGGACCCGCGUCGCAUUAGCUAGUUGGUGAGGUAACGGCUCACCAAGGCAACGAUGCGUAGCCGACGUGGGAGGGUGAUCGGCCACACUGGGACUGGGACACGGCCCAGACUACUACGGGAGGCAGCAGUAGGGAAUCUUCCGCAAUGGACGAAAGUCUGACGGAGCAACGCCGCGUGAGUGAUGAAGGCUUUCGGGUCGUAAAACUCUGUUGUUAGGGAAGAACAAGUGCUAGUUGAAUAAGCUGGCACCUUGACGGUACCUAACCAGAAAGCCACGGCUAACUACGUGCCAGCCGCCGCGGUAA
rnacentral:rRNA from 1 species